rnacentral:tRNA from 1 species
GGAUAUGGCGAAAUUGGU